ACAUGCCUACAACAUAGCGUUAAUGCACUAGAUCCCAUUAGAACUCUAUAGUUAAGCGUGCUCAAGAUAGAGUAGUACUGGGAUGGCUAACCGCCCAAGAAGUCCUAGUGUUUGACAUGCC
rnacentral:rRNA from 1 species